UAAAAACCCCGACUUCGGAAGGGGUGUAUUUAUUAGAUACAAAACCAAUGCCCUUCGGGGCUCUUUGGUGAUUCAUGAUAACUAUACGAAUCGCACGGCCUUGCGCCGGCGAUGGUUCAUUCAAAUUUCUUCCCUAUCAACUUUCGAUGUUUGGGUAUUGGCCAAACAUGGUUGCAACGGGUAACGGAGGGUUAGGGCUCGACCUCGGAGAAGGAGCCUGAGAAACGGCUACUACAUCCAAGGAAGGCAGCAGGCGCGCAAAUUACCCAAUCCCGACUCGGGGAGGUAGUGACAAUAAAUACUGAUACAGGGCCCUUUCGGGCCUUGUAAUUGGAAUGAGUACAAUUUAAAUCCCUUAACGAGGAACAAUUGGAGGGCAAGUCUGGUGCCAGCAGCCGCGGUAAUUCCAGCUCCAAUAGCGUAUAUUAAAGUUGUUGUGGUUAAAAAGCUCGUAGUUGAACCUUGGGCCUGGCUGGCCGGUCCGCCUCACCGCGUGCACUGGUCCGGCCGGGCCUUUCCCUCUGUGGAACCCCAUACCCUUCACUGGGCGUGGCGGGGAAACAGGACAUUUACUUU
rnacentral:rRNA from 1 species